rnacentral:rRNA from 1 species
CUGUGUAACUCAGUUUGAAUUGAUUAAUAAAUGAAUUACUUUAAUUUUUUUUUAUUUUAUUUUUAAAAAAUAUUUUUGUUUUGAGUAUAUAUAAUUGAAAUUAAUUUUUUAGUGAAAGUACAUAAGUACCGUGAGGGUAUUUUGAAAUAUUUUGAAAUAUUUAAUUCUAUAAAAGUAUACUUUAUUUGUAAUACCUUUUGUAUCAGGGUUAAUCAAUUUUAUUUAAUUUAUUUUAAUUUCUCGAUCUUAUAAGAGCUAACAAUUUAAUUUUUUUAGUGUAACAUAAUUAUAGAAAAUAUUUGUUAGAUGAGAAAUUUUAUUCGUUUAUAAGGGUAUCUAGUUUUUUAAGAAAUAAAUUUAAUUUAAUUUUACUUUUUCUUUUUCUUCUUUAUUAGAAUUAGAUUAAUUAAAUUUUAAUUAAUAGGGGACAAGCUCUAUUAAUAUUUUAUAAUUUAUAUAUUUUUUGUUUAUAGUAGGAUUAUAAUCUUUCAUCUUUUUAUUACGUUAUAGUAUAUCUCUUUAUAUAUUUGAUUUUUGUUUUAUUUAAUUAAAUAUUAAAAUUUUCUAAUUAAUCUUUAAUUAGAAGUAAUAAUGGUUAAAUUAGUAUAUUAAUUUAUUGUAUAUUAUAAAUUUUGUGUAAAUUUAUUAAUAAGGAACUCGGCAAAUUUUUGUGUUCGCCUGUUUAUCAAAAACAUGUCCUCUUGUUUAUUUUGGAGGUCUGACCUGCCCAGUGAAAUUUUUAACGGCCGCGGUAUUUUGACCGUGCAAAGGUAGCAUAAUCAUUAGUCUUUUAAUAGAGGGCUGGAAUGAAGGGUUUAACGAAUCAUUAGCUGUCUCAUUUUUAUAAUUUAAAAUUUAAUUUUUAAGUUAAAAAGCUUAAAUGGUAUUGAAGGACGAGAAGACCCUAUAGAGCUUUAUAUUAUAUUUUUUAAUGAAUUGUUGAUUUAUAUUUAGUUAUUAUAAUAAUUUAAUAUUUUGUUGGGGUGACAGAAAUAAAUAAUUAACUUUUUUAUUCUUUAAACAUAAAUUUAUGAACUUUUGAUCCAUUAUUAUUGAUUGUUAGAUUAAGUUACCUUAGGGAUAACAGCGUAAUCUUUUUUUGGAGUUCAAAUUUACAAAAAGGCUUGCGACCUCGAUGUUGGAUUAAGAUUAUAGUUUGGUGUAGUAGCUAAAUUAAUAGGUCUGUUCGACCUUUAAAUUCUUACAUGAUCUGAGUUCAGACCGGCUUAAGCCAGGUCGGUUUCUAUCCUCAAAUUUUAUUUAGCUUUUAGUACGAAAGGACCAUUGCUUUAAAAUAAUUUUUAUUACUUGAAUGCAAUUAACUAUUUUGGCAGAUAAGUGUUAUGGAUUUAGAAUCCAUUUAUGUAAGAAUUU